rnacentral:rRNA from 1 species
AACGAACGUUAGCGGCGCGCCUAACACAUGCAAGUCGCACGAGAAAGGGCUUCGGCCCCGGUAAAGUGGCGCACGGGUGAGUAACACGUGGGUAACCUUCCCUCGAGCGGGGAAUAACAUUCCGAAAGGAGUGCUAAUACCGCAUAAGACCACGGCUUCGAAAGGAGCUGAGGUAAAAGCUGGCCUCUUCAUGAAAGACAGCACUCGAGGAUGGGCCCGCGGCCCAUCAGCUUGUUGGUAGGGUAACGGCCUACCAAGGCUAAGACGGGUAACUGGUCUGAGAGGAUGAUCAGUCACACUGGAACUGAGACACGGUCCAGACUCCUACGGGAGGCAGCAGUGGGGAAUCUUGCGCAAUGGACGAAAGUCUGACGCAGCGACGCCGCGUGGGUGAUGAAGGCCUUCGGGUUGUAAAGCCCUGUGGGGAGAGACGAAUAAGUCUUGGCUAAUAUCCAAGAUGAUGACGGUAUCUCCUUAGCAAGCACCGGCUAACUCUGUGCCAGCAGCCGCAGUAAUAC